rnacentral:rRNA from 1 species
UACAGAGGGUGCGAGCGUUGUCCGGAAUCGCUGGGCGUAAAGGGCGCGUAGGUGGCGACCCAAGUCUGUGGUGAAAGCUCGACGCUCAACGUCGAGUCGGCCAUAGAUACUGGGUUGCUGGAGUACUGUAGAGGCAGAUGGAAUUCCGGGUGUAGCGGUGGAAUGCGUAGAGAUCCGGAAGAACACCGGUGGCGAAAGCGCUCUGCUGGGCCGCAACUGACACUAAUGGACGAAAGCUAGGGGAGCGAAUGGG